rnacentral:rRNA from 1 species
AUGUCCAAGAUGGAGGAUGAUAAACCCAUUCUAAUAGACACUAAAAAGACUAGGAGGACUAGGAACACACGUCAUGUUGUACAUUCUGAUGAAGAAUCAGAAAAUCUGGAUAGUCAAGAGAAAGAUGAAUCCAUAUCUGUUGUUGAUAAGGAAUCUAAGAAAAGGAGAAUUCAAAAAGAUAGCCAUGAGCAAGCGGGCAAGUUAUCAGUUAUGAAAACUAUAAAGCAAGAACCAGAGGAUGAUGAACCCACUAUUAACCGGACUAAAAGGGGUAGGAGAAGUAGCACAGCUCAUGUUGUAGACCUUGAUGAAGAACCAAAAACUGAAGGUAGUCGGGAAAUAAUGAAAUCAAAAUCUAUGGAAGCAGGCCCCAAGAGGAAACGCGCCGUAACUCGCAAAUGUGCUGGUAUUGAUAACAAACAAGUAAACAAUCACCAUGAAGAAGAAUCAGAACAUGCAGGUACUCAGGAGCACAAUGAUUCAAGGCCUAGGACAAGGCGUAGUUGUGUCAACAAAGAAUUGAUGAGCAAAGGCAUUCAGAAGUGUGGUGUAUCAAGAACUCGAAAGUCAAAUCGUUGA